rnacentral:rRNA from 1 species
ACGGGUGAGUAAUGCAUAGGAAUCUGCCCGAUAGUGGGGGAUAACCUGGGGAAACCCAGGCUAAUACCGCAUACGUCCUACGGGAGAAAGGGGGCUCCGGCUCCCGCUAUCGGAUGAGCCUAUGUCGGAUUAGCUAGUUGGUGAGGUAAAGGCUCACCAAGGCGACGAUCCGUAGCUGGUCUGAGAGGAUGAUCAGCCACAUCGGGACUGAGACACGGCCCGAACUCCUACAGGAGGCAGCAGUGGGGAAUAUUGGACAAUGGGGGGAACCCUGAUCCAGCCAUGCCGCGUGUGUGAAGAAGGCCCUCGGGUUGUAAAGCACUUUCAGUGAGGAAGAACGCCUGGUGGUUAAUACCCAUCAAGAAAGACAUCUCUCACAGAAGAAGCACCGGCUAACUCCGUGCCAGCAGCCGCGGUAAUACGGAGGGUGCGAGCGUUAAUCGGAAUUACUGGGCGUAAAGCGCGCGUACGUGGCUUGAUAAGCCGGUUGUGAAAGUCCCGGGCUCAACCUGGGAACGGCAUCCGGAACUGUCAAGCUAGAGUGCAGGAGAGGAAGGUAGAAUUCCCGGUGUAGCGGUGAAAUGCGUAGAGAUCGGGAGGAAUACCAGUGGCGAAGGCGGCCUUCUGGACUGACACUGACACUGAGGUGCGAAAGCGUGGGUAGCAAACAGGAUUAGAUACCCUGAUACUCUACGCCGUA